AAAGGGCUUGUUAUAGAAGAAAGCUCUUCAGAAAAAUAACAGCGCUUUCUUUUUUGCAACAACUGCUUGGAGCAAAAGGGCAGCAAACUGAAACUGCGAUUCGGCCUCCAAAACUGCAGAGAACAAUUUCUCACAGCCCGCAGCUGCCAAUGCCCAGAACUCUGGCUGCCCUCGGAGUGCCACGUGCCUCCUGCGGAUGGACGUCGACACGCAGCAGGGGUGAGUUUGGUUUUACAGGGAAGAGGGCGAGCACAGGAUUUCUCCAGGAGCAAAGCUGCCCCCACCGAGAACUCGGGCUGCCCUGGCAGUGCCAAGCAUCACCUGCAGACUGGCAUCAGGAAACUCAGGGGGUACUGCCGAAGCAACAAUCAGAAUCACAGAAAGAGGGUGAAUUCAUGCCAGCAGAAUCAAAGGACUUGUGAAGAAACCUGAGGAAUGGACUAUCACAUUGAAACCGGGCAAUACCAAACUGACUUUCCAAUGAGGACUGAGUGGUAAUAGUUUGGAAAAAGCCAAAUGAUCCAAGAAAUGUACAAAGAAUAACACUGAAUUAAGAAAUAAGAUAACGCUUAGAUCACUGGUUUCAAGCACUGCCUGUAUAAAACAUCUCCUUCAGGGAGGAAUACUUCAGACAAAAAGAUCAAGACUGUUUUUGUAUUCUGACCUUAGCCUGAGAAUUGCACAGGGGAAAAGGGGAAUUACCAUUUCCAUCAGUAAACUUUAUUUGAUUCAUUCCAAUACUGGACAUGCUAGCUGGGUCAUAAGUAAAUGCUUGAAUUGUGAGAAUAAUUAGUAUUGUAGUUCACAAAAUUCAUGCUCUUAUUGCAAAAAGUGGUAAAGUAAUAACUUAGCUUUGUGGAUGGGAAUUAUUAGUGCCUGUUGAAUGAGAGAUACCUGAGGAACAGUAAGAGACCACAGUUAAGAGUGUCAAAACCAAUUUGCCUGGAAAUUAGUUA